AUGUGCACACAUUCAUGCACACACACGUUCACACAAUCAUGUACGCGCAUGUGCACACAAUCAUGUACGCGCAUGUGCACGCAUUCAUGCGCACAUACAUUCACACAUUCAUGCACGCACACAGGCACUAUUCAUGCACACACACGUUCACACAUUCAUGCACGUGCAUGUGCACACAUUCAUGCACACACACACACACGUGCUCACAUUCAUGCACAAACACACAUGCACACACACGGGCACACAUUCAUGCACACACACACAUGCACAUAUUCAUGCAUGCACACGGGCACACACACACGUUCACACAUUCAUGCACACACACGUGCUCACAUUCAUGCACAAACACACAUGCACACACACUGGCACACAUUCAUGCCCACACACGUGCUCACAUUCAUGCACAAACACACAUGCACACACACGUUCACACAUUCAUGCACACACACGUGCUCACAUUCAUGCACAAACACACAUGCACACACACUGGCACACAUUCAUGCACACACACGUGCUCACAUUCAUGCACAAACACACAUGCACACACACGUUCACACAUUCAUGCACACACACGUGCUCACAUUCAUGCACAAACACACAUGCACACACACUGGCACACAUUCAUGCACACACACACGUGCACACAUUCAUGCACGCGCAUGUGCACACACACACGUUCACACAUUCAUGCACGCACACGUGCACACAUUCAUGCACACACACACGGGCACAUGCAUACAUUCAUGCACUCACAGGCACCAUUCAUGCACACACUUGGGCACGCAUUCAUGCACACACACUUUCACACAUCCAUGCACGUGCAUGUGCACACAUUCAUGCACACACACGUUCACACAUUCAUGCACGCACACGUGCACACAUUCAUGCACGCACAUGUGCACACAUUCAUGCACACACACACGGGCACAUGCACACAUUCAUGCACGUACACAUGCACAAAUUCAUGCACUCACAGGCACUAUUAAUGCACGCACACGUGCACACACACAGGCACAAAAGAUUCUAAGUUUUAUUUUUUUAUAA
rnacentral:lncRNA from 1 species